UACAGAGGGGGCAAGCGUUGUUCGGAAUUACUGGGCGUAAAGGGCGCGUAGGCGGCCUUCUAAGUCGAACGUGAAAUCCCCGGGCUCAACUCGGGAACUGCGUCCGAUACUGGCGGGCUUGAAUCCGGGAGAGGGAUGCAGAAUUCCAGGUGUAGCGGUGAAAUGCGUAGAUAUCUGGAGGAAUACCGGUGGCGAAGGCGGCAUCCUGGACCGGCAUUGACGCUGAGGAGCGAAAGCCAGGGGAGCAAACGGG
rnacentral:rRNA from 1 species